rnacentral:lncRNA from 1 species
AACCUCCGGUCUUUCUCUUCUUCCUUCCAGACCUGUCACAAACAAGCUCGACCACUGGCCACUUCACAAGAUGUCAGGGGCACCCACGCCACUGAAAACUACUCCCACAGCACCAAAGUAGGGACCUGUGCACUGCUCCGCCAGCCCAUUACAGUCACAGUGUCAAGCAAGACACAACCCAACAAAAUAUAAGAAAUAGAC